rnacentral:lncRNA from 1 species
CGGAGGGGGGUGAGCGUGCGCGCGCGCCGCGAAGGAAGUAAACAACCGUCGGCGCGCGGGCAGCUGCUGAGCCGGGAGCGGAACGUACUGCUGUGCGUGAGGGGCGGCCGGAGCCCGCGCCGCGCCCUUCCCCGCCCUGCCGGCCCCGGAGUGACGGGUAUCCACGCCGCCCCUCGGCGGGACGCCUUUCUCUGGCUGCGACGGCCGAAACCGCAGGCAGAGCCGAAGCUCUGUGAUCGGUGCCUUCGGGGUCCGCCAUUUAAAUAAAGUACCUGAGGCAAUUGUAAAGGGAAAUCAAGAUCCCCUCUUUGUGUCUCUUGAUCUUCACUGGACUAGAAGAACCUGUCAUUCGGAAAUCUGGAGUGGAAAGUGACCUGUUUUGUUUGUGGAAGCUCUGGAAUCCCACAGGAGAAGGAUCGCUCAGCACCAUGGCCAUUUGCCAAGUACAACUUGUUCUGAAACACGGUGGUUCUGAGAAGUUGCAUUAUCAACUGAAGCACAAUGUCAGCGUAGCAGGAGGAAUUUAAGUGAUUUCUCUGAAGAAGAGAGCAGGUUGUGUACAUAUAUGCAGUAGUAAGUAUAUGCAAAAAAACUGUAUGAGAUUCCUUCCUUCCUGGGACAGCUACUGGAACAACUACUGUUCAAAUCAAUAAAACAAAAGUGAAGAAAAUGACUCUAAUGUCAUCUUAGUACUGUGAUGGGCACUUGAAAAAUGCCGCAGGCAACAGAAAAUGUCCUCCUUUCCUACUUACAGGUUUUCUAUUCUAAUCAGACCAAAAGAGAAUUCUGGCUAUUUUACAUACUUCAUUACUUGUUUUAAAGCUCCUUGUUUUGUUUUCAUGGGCCCAUUCUGUGGUUUUCAUCCUGAUUUAUCAGAGUCCUAUUCUGUCUGACCUUUAAAGUACAGCAUGUUACUGCAGCAAAGUCAGUUUUCC